CUAUAAUGCAGUCGAGCGGACAGAAGGGAGCUUGCUCCCGGAUGUUAGCGGCGGACGGGUGAGUAACACGUGGGUAACCUGCCUGUAAGACUGGGAUAACUCCGGGAAACCGGAGCUAAUACCGGAUAGUUCCUUGAACCGCAUGGUUCAAGGAUGAAAGACGGUUUCGGCUGUCACUUACAGAUGGACCCGCGGCGCAUUAGCUAGUUGGUGAGGUAACGGCUCACCAAGGCGACGAUGCGUAGCCGACCUGAGAGGGUGAUCGGCCACACUGGGACUGAGACACGGCCCAGACUCCUACGGGAGGCAGCAGUAGGGAAUCUUCCGCAAUGGACGAAAGUCUGACGGAGCAACGCCGCGUGAGUGAUGAAGGUUUUCGGAUCGUAAAGCUCUGUUGUUAGGGAAGAACAAGUGCAAGAGUAACUGCUUGCACCUUGACGGUACCUAACCAGAAAGCCACGGCUAACUACGUGCCAGCAGCCGCGGUAAUACGUAGGUGGCAAGCGUUGUCCGGAAUUAUUGGGCGUAAAGGGCUCGCAGGCGGUUUCUUAAGUCUGAUGUGAAAGCCCCCGGCUCAACCGGGGAGGGUCAUUGGAAACUGGGAAACUUGAGUGCAGAAGAGGAGAGUGGAAUUCCACGUGUAGCGGUGAAAUGCGUAGAGAUGUGG
rnacentral:rRNA from 1 species